UUGAGAGUGCAGCUCUAAAUGGGUGGUAAACUCCAUCUAAGGUCGCGACCCGCUGGGUGUCGGUCUACGGCCCGGGUGCGGUGUCUGACGCGUCGCCAGUAAAACAGCACGCGUCAAACCCCCGGUCGCCCGGCCGGCUGCCCGGCGGUACACGCAAGGUAUCAGGCCGCAGCUCUCACGGGCGCCUUCCUCUCUGCUCCUCCGGGGAUUUGGGGAUGGUGUCGCGUCGGGUGUGUGUCGAGGCCGUCGCAAGCGCGCGCCACGGUACACGGUGAUCACGGACCUAGCGCCGUCACCGGUCCUGGCCCGCUGUUGGCUCAUACGGUUAACCUUCGACAGGCCCGCAAACGCGCGUCCCUCGUCGCGGGCUCCUCCGGGGGUCUGCGCGCGCGGGGACCGCGAUACCGGUC
rnacentral:rRNA from 1 species